AUUGAACGCUGGCGGCAGGCCUAACACAUGCAAGUCGAGCGGAUGAGUGGAGCUUGCUCCAUGAUUCAGCGGCGGACGGGUGAGUAAUGCCUAGGAAUCUGCCUGGUAGUGGGGGACAACGUUUCGAAAGGAACGCUAAUACCGCAUACGUCCUACGGGAGAAAGCAGGGGACCUUCGGGCCUUGCGCUAUCAGAUGAGCCUAGGUCGGAUUAGCUAGUAGGUGAGGUAAUGGCUCACCUAGGCGACGAUCCGUAACUGGUCUGAGAGGAUGAUCAGUCACACUGGAACUGAGACACGGUCCAGACUCCUACGGGAGGCAGCAGUGGGGAAUAUUGGACAAUGGGCGAAAGACCGUGAUCCAGCCAUGCCGCGUGUGUGAA
rnacentral:rRNA from 1 species